CACGUAGGGGGCAAGCGUUGUCCGGAUUUAUUGGGCGUAAAGAGCUCGUAGGUGGUUCGAUAAGUCGGGUGUGAAACCUCCAGGCUCAACCUGGAGACGCCACCCGAUACUGUCGUGACUAGAGUCCAGUAGGGGAGCGUGGAAUUCCUGGUGUAGCGGUGAAAUGCGCAGAUAUCAGGAGGAACACCAGUGGCGAAGGCGGCUCACUGGCCCGAUACUGACGCUGAGGCACGAAAGCGUGGGGAGCAAACAGG
rnacentral:rRNA from 1 species